rnacentral:rRNA from 1 species
CAGUCGCCACGGUAAUACAGAGGCCUCAAGCGUUGUUCGGAUUCAUUGGGCGUAAAGGGUGCGUAGGCGGUCGGGUAAGUCGGAUGUGAAAUCCUGGGGCUCAACCUCAGAACUGCAUUCGAUACUGCUUGGCUAGAGGACUGGAGAGGAGAUCGGAAUUCACGGUGUAGCAGUGAAAUGCGUAGGUAUCGUGAGGAAGACCAGUGGCGAAGGCGGAUCUCUGGACAGUUCCUGACGCUGAUGCACGAAGGCCAGGGGAGCAAACGGGAUUAGAUACCCGUGUAGUCCCUGUCUCUUAUAC